UACGUAGGGGGCAAGCGUUGUUCGGAAUUACUGGGCGUAAAGGGCGCGUAGGCGGCACGGCAAGUCGGGAGUGAAAGCCCGGGGCUCAACCCCGGAGGGUCUCUCGAAACUGCCGAGCUAGAGUGCGGAAGAGGCAAUCGGAAUUCCCAGUGUAGCGGUGAAAUGCGUAGAUAUUGGGAAGAACACCGGAGGCGAAGGCGGAUUGCUGGGCCGACACUGACGCUGAGGCGCGAAAGCCAGGAGAGCAAACGGG
rnacentral:rRNA from 1 species